rnacentral:rRNA from 1 species
ACUCCUACGGGAGGCAGCAGUAGGGAAUUUUCCGCAAUGGACGAAAGUCUGACGGAGCAAUGCCGCGUGAGUGAUGAAGGUUUUCGAAUCGUUAAAAGGCCUCUGUUGUAAGGGAAGAAUAGCAAGAAUAGGAAAUGAUUCUUGUCUGACGGUACCUUACCAGAAAGCCACGGCUAACUACGUGCCAGCAGCCGCGGUAAUACGUAGGUGGCAAGCGUUAUCCGGAAUUAUUGGGCGUAAAGCGCAUGUAGGCGGCCUUUUAAGGUCUGAUGUGAAAGCCUGUGGUCUCAACCACAGAAUUGCAUUGGAUACUGGNGAGCUAGAAUCUUGGAGAGGUAAGUGGAAUUUCAUGUGUAGCGGUGGAAUGCGUAGAUAUAUGAAGGAACACCAAUGGCGAAGGCAGCUUACUGGACAAGUAUUGACGCUGAGAUGCGAAAGUGUGGUAGCAAACAGGAUUAGAUACCCUGGUAGGCUCUG